rnacentral:miRNA from 1 species
GCAGACACAUUCCAGCAAAUCAGCAGCAGACCCUCCCUCCCAGACCCUCCCACCGCCUGGACAGUAUCCAUUUUACAUUCAUUGUGAAGCUGCAUUCUUAGUGAGCUGUCCAGGAGGUGGGAGGGUCUGGGAGGGAGAGUCUGCUGCUGAUUGGCUGGAAUGUGUCUG